AGCGAACGCUGGCGGCAGGCCUAACACAUGCAAGUCGAACGAACUCUUCGGAGUUAGUGGCGGACGGGUGAGUAACACGUGGGAACGUGCCUUUUGGUUCGGAAUAACUCAGGGAAACUUGUGCUAAUACCGAAUGUGCCCUUCGGGGGAAAGAUUUAUCGCCAUUAGAGCGGCCCGCGUCUGAUUAGCUAGUUGGUGAGGUAACGGCUCACCAAGGCGACGAUCAGUAGCUGGUCUGAGAGGAUGACCAGCCACACUGGGACUGAGACACGGACCAGACUCCUACGGGAGGGAGCAGUGGGGAAUCUUGCGCAAUGGGCGAAAGGCUGACGCAGCCAAGCCGCGUGAAUGAUGAAGGUCUGAGGAUUGUAAAGUUCUUUCAUCGGAGACGAUAAUGACGGUACCCGGAGAAGAAGCCCCGGCUAACUUCGUG
rnacentral:rRNA from 1 species